UACGGGGGGAGCAAGCGUUGCUCGGAAUCACUGGGCGUAAAGCGCACGUAGGCGGCUUCUUAAGUCAGGGGUGAAAUCCUGGAGCUCAACUCCAGAACUGCCUUUGAUACUGAGAAGCUUGAGUCCGGGAGAGGUGAGUGGAACUGCGAGUGUAGAGGUGAAAUUCGUAGAUAUUCGCAAGAACACCAGUGGCGAAGGCGGCUCACUGGCCCGGUACUGACGCUGAGGUGCGAAAGCGUGGGGAGCAAACAGG
rnacentral:rRNA from 1 species